rnacentral:rRNA from 1 species
CCUACGGGAGGCAGCAGUGAGGAAUAUUGGUCAAUGGACGCAAGUCUGAACCAGCCAUGCCGCGUGCAGGAAGACGGCUCUAUGAGUUGGAAACUGCUUUUGUACGAGGGUAAACGCAGAUACGCGUAUCUGUCUGAAAGUAACGUACGAAUAAGGAUCGGCUAACUCCGUGCCAGCAGCCGCGGUAAUACGGAGGAUUCAAGCGUUAUCCGGAUUUAUGGGGUUGAAAGGGUGCGUAGGCGGUCGGCUAAGUUAGAGGUGAAAUCCCGAGGCUCAACUUCGGAAUUGCCUCUGCUACUGUUCGGCUAGAGCGUAGUUGCGGUAGGCGGCAUUCGUGGUGUAGCGGU